rnacentral:rRNA from 1 species
AGAGUUUGAUCCUGGCUCAGGAUGAACGCUAGCUACAGGCUUAACACAUGCAAGUCGAGGGGAAACGACAUCGAAAGCUUGCUUUUGAUGGGCGUCGACCGGCGUACGGGUGAGUAACGCGUAUCCAACCUGCCCACCACUUGGGGAUAACCUUGCGAAAGUAAGACUAAUACCCAAUGAUAUCUCUAGAAGACAUCUGAAAGAGAUUAAAGAUUUAUCGGUGAUGGAUGGGGAUGCGUCUGAUUAGCUUGUUGGCGGGGUAACGGGCCCACCCAAGGCAACGAUCAGUAGGGGUUCGUGAGAGGGAGGGUCCCCCACCAUUGGAACUGAGACACGGUCCAAACUCCUACGGGAGGCAGCA